UAGGGAAUCUUCCGCAAUGGGCGAAAGCUUGACGGAGCAACGCCGCGUGAGUGAUGAAGGUCUUCGGAUCGUAAAACUCUGUUAUUAGGGAAGAACAAAUGUGUAAGUAACUAUGCACGUCUUGACGGUACCUAAUCAGAAAGCCACGGCUAACUACGUGCCAGCAGCCGCGGUAAUACGUAGGUGGCAAGCGUUAUCCGGAAUUAUUGGGCGUAAAGCGCGCGUAGGCGGUUUUUUAAGUCUGAUGUGAAAGCCCACGACUCAACCGUGGAGGGUCAUUGGAAACUGGAAAACUUGAGUGCAGAAGAGGAAAGUGGAAUUCCAUGUGUAGCGGUGAAAUGCGCAGAGAUAUGGAGGAACACCAGUGGCGAAGGCGACUUUCUGGUCUGUAACUGACGCUGAUGUGCGAAAGCGUGGGGAUCAAACAGG
rnacentral:rRNA from 1 species